rnacentral:rRNA from 1 species
GACGAACGCUGGCGGCGUGCUUAACACAUGCAAGUCGAACGGUGAAGCGCCUUCCUUUUUGGUGGGUGUGGAUGAGUGGCGAACGGGUGAGUAACACGUGAGUAACCUGCCCCCUUCUUCUGGAUAACCGCAUGAAAGUGUGGCUAAUACGGGAUAUUCUGGGUCUGUCGCAUGAUGGGUCUGGGAAAGAUAUUGUUUCGGUGGGGGAUGGGCUCGCGGCCUAUCAGCUUGUUGGUGGGGUGAUGGCCUACCAAGGCGGUGACGGGUAGCCGGCCUGAGAGGGUGGACGGUCACACUGGGACUGAGACACGGCCGAGACUCCUACGGGAGGCAGCAGUGGGGAAUAGUGCACAAUGGGCGCAAGCCUGAUGCAGCGACGCCGCGUGAGGGAUGGAGGCCUGCGGGUUGUGAACCUCUUUCGCCAGUGAAGCAGGCCUGCCUCGUUUGUGGGUGGGUUGACGGUAGCUGGAUAAGAAGCGCCGGCUAACUACGUG